rnacentral:rRNA from 1 species
UACGUAGGGUGCGAGCGUUGCCCGGAUUUAUUGGGCGUAAAGGGUGCGUAGGCGGCGCGGUAAGUCGGGUGUGAAAUCUCGGAGCUUAACUCCGAAACUGCAUUCGAUACUGCCGUGCUUGAGGACUGGAGAGGAGACUGGAAUUUACGGUGUAGCGGUGAAAUGCGUAGAUAUCGUAAGGAAGACCAGUGGCGAAGGCGGGUCUCUGGACAGUUCCUGACGCUGAGGCACGAAGGUCAGGGGAGCAAACGGG